GAUGAACGCUAGCGGCAGGCUUAAUACAUGCAAGUCGUGGGGCAGCAUGAGUAGCAAUACUUGAUGGCGACCGGCAAACGGGUGAGGAACACGUACACAACCUUCCUUCAAGCGGGGAAUAGCCCAGAGAAAUUUGGAUUAAUACCCCAUAAUAUAUUUGAUAAGGCAUCUUAUUAAAUAUUAAAGCUUCGGCACUUGAUGAUGGGUGUGCGGCUGAUUAGAUAGUUGGCGGGUAACGGCCCACCAAGUCUACGAUCAGUAGCUGAUGUGAGAGCAUGAUCAGCCACACGGGCACUGAGACGCGGGCCCGACUCCUACGGGAGGCAGCAGUAAGGAAUAUUGGACAAUGGACGAAAGUCUGAUCCAGCCAUGCCGCGUGAAGGAUUAAGGUCCUCUGGAUUGUAAACUUCUUUUAUAUGGGACGAAAAAAGGGCAAUUCUUGCUCACUUGACGGUACCAUAUGAAUAAGCACCGGCUAAACUCCGUG
rnacentral:rRNA from 1 species